rnacentral:rRNA from 1 species
CAGCAGCCACGGGAAUACAGAGGGUGCGAGCGUUAAUCGGAUUUACUGGGCGUAAAGCGUGCGUAGGCGGCUUCUUAAGUCGUAUGUGAAAUCCCUGAGCUUAACUUAGGAAUUGCAUUCGAUACUGGGAAGCUAGAGUAUGGGAGAGGAUGGUAGAAUUCCAGGUGUAGCGGUGAAAUGCGUAGAGAUCUGGAGGAAUACCGAUGGCGAAGGCAGCCAUCUGGCCUAAUACUGACGCUGAGGUACGAAAGCAUGGGGAGCAAACAGGAUUAGAUACCCCGGUAGUCCCUGUCUCUUAUAC